rnacentral:rRNA from 1 species
AUCCAGACUCCUACGGGAGGCAGCAGUGGGGGAUAUUGCACAAUGGGGGAAACCCUGAUGCAGCGACGCCGCGUGGGCGAAGAAGUAUUUCGGUAUGUAAAGCCCUAUCAGCAGGGAAGAAGAAAUGACGGUACCUGAGUAAGAAGCACCGGCUAAAUACGUGCCAGCAGCCGCGGUAAUACGUAGGGGGCAAGCGUUAUCCGGAUUUACUGGGUGUAAAGGGAGCGUAGACGGAUGGAUAAGUCUGAAGUGAAAGCCCGCGGCUCAACUGCGGGACUGCUUUGGAAACUGUGCAUCUUGAGUACGGGAGGGGCAGGCGGAAUUCCUGGUGUAGCGGUGAAAUGCGUAGAUAUCAGGAGGAACACCGGCGGCGAAGGCGGCCUGCUGGACCGCGACUGACGUUGAGGCUCGAAAGCGUGGGGAGCGAACAGGAUUAGAUACCCUCGUA